AUUGAACGCUGGCGGCAGGCCUAACACAUGCAAGUCGAGCGGAGCGGCGGACGGGUGAGUAAUGCCUAGGAAUCUGCCUGGUCGUGGGGGAUAACGUCCGGAACCGGGCGCUAAUACCGCAUCCUCUCAGAUGCUCCUAGGUCUGAUUAGCUUGUUGGUGGGGUAAAGGCCUCCCAAGGCGACGAUCCGUAACUGGGCUGAGAGGAUGAUCAGUCACACUGGAAAUGAGACACGGUCCAGACUCCUACGGGAGGCAGCAGUGGGGAAUAUUGCACAAUGGGCGAAAGCCUGAUGCAGCAAUGCCGCGUGUGUGAAGAAGGUCUUCGGAUUGUAAAGCACUUUAAGUUGGGAGGCGUUACCCGCAGAAGAAGCACCGGCUAACUCCGUGCCAGCAGCCGCGGUAAUUC
rnacentral:rRNA from 1 species